rnacentral:misc_RNA from 1 species
AAGUCGUAACAAGGUUUCCGUAGGUGAACCUGCGGAAGGAUCAUUAACGAAUAACUAUGGUGUCUUGGUUGUAGCUGGCUCCUCGGAGCAAUGUGCACGCCCGCCAUUUUUAUCUUUCCACCUGUGCACCGACUGUAGGUCUGGAUACCUCUCGCCCUUCACGGGGCGGAUGCGAGGAUUGCUCGUAAGGGCUUUCCUCGAAUUUCCAGGCUCUACGUCUUUUAACACACCCCAAUAGUAUGAUGUAGAAUGUAGUCAAUGGGCUUCUUAGCCUAUAAAACACUAUACAACUUUCAGCAACGGAUCUCUUGGCUCUC